AUGAGUUGCCGGGCGGUUUCUUGCCCCCACUCGCUCAGUCUGCCCCCAGUUUAGGAUAGCGAUCGAGAUUCUCGAGGCUCGUACUCAACCGCCGUCCAGUGCACCCAGCGCGUGGGCAGAAGCUACGAAAGAGAUAUGUGAGCCCCGAACUGGAGAGUAGGAGGAACUCAAUGGGAUUCAGACUUCUUGUCAGAUUUUAGCUAGUGCCGAAAGGAGCAUGCCUUGACCAAUUCCUCCCUAACUGUCUCUGUGCUGCCUUGGGCUGUGGGAUGGAUAACAGAACUUUUGAAUCAUCACUGGAAUAAACUCAUUAGAGCCUCUUCUUCAUAACACCGUAUCUGUCACUCAGACAUGUGAAGGAAGUGGCCAGACCUGCUUCGUCACCUGCCUGUGCAUCUCUGUCCCACCUGAGAGCUUCCACAGGCCCCGGUGCCUUCUUCCUCUUCGCCAUCUGUCUUGUGCUCAUCUCCUCCGAGAAGCCUUCCAUGACUAAUCCUACUCUCAGCUCCAACUCAUCCCUUGAAGAUUUAUACAAACUAGAUUUAGGUUCUCCCCUCGGUUUCGCAUCUCCUUCAGGAACGGGUGCUCAGCUGACAGCUUCCUGUGGCAGAGGAAGCAUUAAGGAAUCAGCCAGAACCUCUCCAGGCAUGGGCCAUGAGCUUCUCUUUUCUUCGGUCAUUCCCAGGAGCUAGGCAUGGUGGCAUCAGGGAAAGGGUGAGGACUCUGGAGUAAGACCGAGGCUGAAGCCCAGAUCUCCCGCUUACUAGCAGAGCAGUUACUUUUGAGUCUUGGGCGCCUCAUCUAUAAAAUGAGGAUAAUUACCCUUCCCUGCAGAGUUGAUGAGAGGGAAACUGGGAAAUCAGCUGGCACAGCUUCUGACCCGGAACAGGCCCCUCUGGUUGCUCUUUCCCCCUUUUCCCUCUGCCUUGGGGUGCCUUCCCCUCUUUCCCCCCACCCCAUUCUUAGCCCUGUUCAUCUCUCCGGGGGUCCUUUGUCCCCAUCUCUCAUCCUAUCUCUGCUAUUAACCCUAGUUCCUUUGACCCCAUUUGCUUGCCCACAUAAACGUGUGCUUUGAUCUUUCUACUCCCUCAAAUUACCCUUCCAUUUCUUUCCUUCACUUCUUUGGCAAGUAUCUGGAAAGCUACGCCCAUACACAGUCUUUACUUCCUGUCCACUCCUAAAUUCUUUUACAAUUUGGCUUCUGGUUCUCCUCCUCCACUGAAAUCCCAACGACCUCCUGCCCACCAAAUUCAAAGACCUUCCCUAACUCUGCACAACACUGACCCCUGCUGGCCAAAACCUCCCUGUGACUCUGUCUCCUCGGGGCUUCCAGUCCCACUGUGCCACCCCGCUUCUGCUCCCACCCUUUGGGCUUCUGAUUCCUAUCCGUUCUGUCUACAUCUCCUGUGUUAGUUUCUUUGGUUCCCUAAAAUUUUACAUUCUCUAAGAUUCUGUUCUCAGUUCUUUGCUGUCUGAACUCUCUCAAACAUCCUCCCCUGCCCCCAACGCCCUUCCUAUAGUUUUCAUCUUUAUAUGGCUCACCACCACACAGGGAUCUUCACCUGACUUCUCUCCUGAGCUCUGGGCCCUCAUUUCUAACUGCCUUAAAAUUUUUCUUUUAGGGGCACCUGGGUGGCUUGUCGGUUGAGCAUCUGACUCUUGGUAUAGGCUCAGGUCAUGAUCUCAUGGUUUCGUGAGUCCGAGCCCUGU